AUUGAACGCUGGCGGCAGGCCUAACACAUGCAAGUCGAACGGUAACAGGAAGAAGCUUGCUUCUUUGCUGACGAGUGGCGGACGGGUGAGUAAUGUCUGGGAAACUGCCUGAUGGAGGGGGAUAACUACUGGAAACGGUAGCUAAUACCGCAUAACGUCGCAAGACCAAAGAGGGGGACCUUCGGGCCUCUUGCCAUCGGAUGUGCCCAGAUGGGAUUAGCUAGUAGGUGGGGUAACGGCUCACCUAGGCGACGAUCCCUAGCUGGUCUGAGAGGAUGACCGGCCAACAUGGAACUGAGAAACGGGCCAGACUCCUACGGGAGGCAGCGGUGGGGAAUAUUGCAAAAUGGGGGAAAGCCUGAUGCAGCCAUGCCGGGUGUAUGAAGAAGGCCUUCGGGUUGUAAAGUCCUUUCAGCGGGGAGGAAGGGAGUAAAGUUAAUACCUUUGCUCAUUGACGUUACCCGCAAAAGAAGCACCGGCUAACUCCGU
rnacentral:rRNA from 1 species